rnacentral:misc_RNA from 1 species
UCCACUGAUGAAGAUUCCAAUUAUUGAUAUUGGUCUUCUUGCUUCUCCAACAUCGAUCUGCAGAGAAGAACUUGAAAAACUCCAUUCUGCUCUCAGCUCAUGUGGCUGCUUUAUGUCAAUAAAUCAUGGGAUGACAAGUUCGUUCUUGGACGAAGUGCGGUUAGCUACCAAGAAAUUCUUUGCUCUUCCCAUGGAAGAGAAGCAGAAAUAUGCCAGAGAAGUUGACGCCAUGGAAGGUUAUGGGAAUGACAUGAUUCUUUCAGAAGAUCAAGUGCUUGAUUGGAAUGACCGACUAUAUCUUCUAGCAAGCCCAGAAGACCAGAGACAGCUCAGAUAUUGGCCAGAAAGUCCUGCUAAUUUUAGAGAGACUUUGUUUGAAUAUACCUCUAAGUUACGGCUGAUAACUGAGGUCGUCCUCAAGGCCAUGGCUAGGUCACUGAACUUGGAAAACAACUGCUUUUUAGACAAAUAUGGAGCUAGGGC